CGUAGCCCGAGGGAUUAUGAAUAUCAUUUGAGUGUAUAUCUGAUACACCCACGAGGAAAAGGUCAUGUUCUAUAUGGCUUGUAUAAUGGGAAGCCAUAAGAAGGAAAGGUUAUGCGCAUGCUCAGUAGCACGUGGUACAACUGUAAAGGACCAAUAUGGCUGAAGGAGAAGGAGAACCACGAGAAAAGAAACAGCAAAAGAAGCAAAUGAAAGUGUGUAAAGCGCUCAAUAAAGACACUAUUAGAGAUAUGAAGGUACUUACUGAAUGGCGGUGUGGUGGUAGAAAUGUUACCAGCAUUAAAGAAUACUCUCUAGAUGUUCCUAGAGGUGCAGAAUUCAUCUCGAAUUGACUGGUGGGAGCUACACUUGUUGAUGAAAGGUCGUCGCGAUGACUGAAAUCAUUCUGGAAUAUAAUGGGCAUGCAAUUCAAUCAAUCCAUGCAGAAAUAAAGACUACUAUUAUAUCAGUUUAUUUACAAAAUCUUUUAUUAAUAAAUUAUUUUGCUAUUUUACAAAUGACCUUUUGUUAUCAUUGUUAUCACAACUGAACAAGCCAAGCAUUA